rnacentral:rRNA from 1 species
GGGUCAGUAGGUUGGUCGUGCCACCGGUACGUACUGGUCUCACUGAUUCCUCCUUCCUGAAGAACCGUAAUGCCAUUAAUUUGGUGUUGCGGGGAAACAGGACUGUUACUUUGAAAAAAUUAGAGUGUUUAAAGCAAGCUAGCGCUUGAAUACAUUAGCAUGGAAUAAUGAAAUAGGACGAUCGAUCCUAUUUUGUUGGUUUCUAGGAUUGACGUU